rfam:Termite gut metagenome tgut2b_Contig7620, whole genome shotgun sequence.
UGUGCAUUCCAUCCAGAAGGAUUUAGCAAGUCACUGGAAGCGAGUCUUGCAUGGGUCUUAGCGAUGAGGCUUGUGAAGCGUAGACAGCGGGUACAAAAGCCGCGUAAUUGAGCCACGAAAUAGGUAAACAUUGUAAGAGGCUUUCACCGUUUGGUGCGUGGGAGCGAUCGUGGACGCGCGAUAAGCGAGUGCGGACACCUCUGCCGGGGUCUGAGAGCG